rnacentral:rRNA from 1 species
GAAAAGAACCCCUCAUAACUCCUCGGUCGGCUGGGUGGGCCGCACGAGCACCGACGAGAGUCAACAACAACUAUAAGCCGAUCGAGGCCGAGCUUCCCUGCUCCUCUUGCCUUCUCCGUCUCCCUCCCUUCCGCCCCUCUCCCUCGUCGAUCACCACCAGCUCGAGGUCCGGCUCUCCGUCCCGGGGACCGAUCUCCGCACACGGUAGGUGCCCAUGGAGACGAGGAAGGGAAUCCUGGAGCUGCGCGACCGUCUGGACAAGACGCUGGCGUGCUCUGAUCUCGCCGACGAGGGCUCUUUGAUAUCUCUGGUCAAGAAGCAGAUUUUGGAGUCGUCUCUGCCCGGCUCUGACCAAGGCAACAUCGAUUUGAUUGCUGAAGCACGAGCCAAAGAAGUCUCGAAUUUUCUUGAAAUGCUAGACACUUCAGGAAAUGAACGGCCUUCAGAUAUUCGUGGGCCGCAACAGAAGGAGUGGAAGGUGAAGCAGGAUACAGACCAAUUACGGGUCAUGUACCGCGAAGGUCCAGAUGGGACCCCAUUUCAUACUCUUCUUGCUGAAGGCUUUGCUGAUGGUCCUAUCGAUGUUUGUACAUGUGUGUCAUGGGAAUCAGGUCUAUACAGAAAAUGGUUUCCGCAGUACAAUCUGCCAACAUUUAAAAUUGCUCAGUCAGGCUGCUUGAAGAAGAUUCGGAUUGGCGAAGAAAUUUCUUUAAUCAGAAAGGGUGAAGGUCCCCUGGCCAGUUUCAGAGAGAGAAGCUCUUCUACACUACUUUCAGUUUGAGUAUCUUAAAGAAGACCUUGUCAUUGUGAUCAUGAAAACUAUAUCCAAUUUGGAUAAUUUCAGUAUGCAGACACAUGGAUUUACUAUAGAUGGAAUCCCUGAAGCUGGUGACACGAUUCGGAUGGAUGUAGUUGGAGGCUUUGUCUUACAGAGGAUUACCAAGGAAAGAAGUUUUUUCAGGGCAGUAGCUAAUAUGGACAUUAAGCUAGACUUUGUUCCCCCAUGGCUGAUCAACUUUAUGUCAAGACAGCUAAUCGGCAGUGGGCAUAAGCUAUACCAGAAGGCUGUUAGUACUGUGGCCGCUUGUGAUGAAGACUACAAGCAAGCUUUACGAGCACCGCUCUAUGCAAGAAUACGCGAGUACCAGCAUUCUCCUGACAAGGCGAAGGUGACUUCAGUUGAGGAAAGCGCUAAUGAAGUGCUCCCUGAGAAUCCCACUGUAGAUAAUCCUCUGGCAGUCACUAACCUCACACCAUGCAGUGAGAUUAUCGAAGAGGAGAGUGAACAGAACACAUCUUUUAAGGUGGAUAAUCUUGCAACCCGCUUUUCUAACCAACCAGCCGGGCAAGUGCAGCAAGUUGAAAAUAAGUCUUUCACUAGUCCUGACAGAACAGUGAAGCAAGCACAGCAAGUCGAAAUUAAACAGUUGAUUAGUCCUGAGGUGCAGAAGGCUUUGGGCAUACUGGACACUGCCAUUGCAGUUCUUCAAGGCAACAGAUCUGCAAACAUCAGUGCCCUCAGAAAGCUCCUUAGUUAUGAUGCAAUGUCGGAAGAAGGCAGAGCCAUCAGUACAAAAAAUUCGCAUGCCCUCGAUGUUCUCGAUACAGACAAUCUCCCAAAUGGGUAUCCUCUUGCCACAGCACCUCAUGAUUCGAGAGAGAACCGCCAAACUUAUUUCUUGCCCGAUAAGGAGGUGCGCGACAGGGAGGAAGGCGCUAUCGGAAGUGACUCUCCUAAAAACAUGACCGCUUCUACCAUAACGACGACAAAAUCCAUGACAUUAAGGAGCACAAUAAAGGUGCAUGAAGAAGAGACCCUGAAGAGCGAUGGCCUCUAUCAGAACGGUUUCCACAGUGCCAAAGAGCCCAAGAGACCAAAGAAGACCAAAAGGUGGCUUUGCUGCUUAACGCCUAGCACCAUAGGAUGACGAGAACCCAUUGUAGGGGCUCUCAUGGUUAACGCUUGAUUUUUGGUUGUACAUCAGAAAAUAGACGAGCUACACACGAUGGAACAUGGGGAUCAGAUGGCAAUUCCGGAGGCAGCUUGUGAGAUAGUUACAAAGAUUAGAUUAUGUCUGGUAAAUGUAUAGAAGUUAUGUUGUUGUAACAUCAUGUCAAACAUUAUUAGAGCAUCUCCAACAAAUAAUGUAAAAUUUGGUGCUCAAAAACGUUUUUAGGGCAUGAGAUAGAAGGUUUUGGUCACCGCAGCAGUUGUCACUUUAACAAGAGGAUUUG